rnacentral:lncRNA from 1 species
UGGUAUGACUCCGUCCGUUGAACGAGCAUCUCGUGCCACCUGUUCGGCGUCCACAUCCACUACAAUUUUAUGAUCCCAGUAUCUAUAGCAAAAUCGCUAUUUGCCUCGCUCUAUAGAAGGCCUCCCGUAUGUAAGAUCACCAACCAAGUUCCUUUCUUCUUUUGUUUGUGCCAUCUUUACUAACUUCUACUUCUUGGUUGGCUUGAUGCUUACAGGUCUUGCCUCCGCUGAUACUGGUCAUGGGGACAAGAACUCCGUGGGAAGAGAGCAGAUACCAAUCCUAAACAACCCUUAGAAUGGCCUCAUCCAAACAGAUGAUUGUCAUUGAUAAGACGGGUAGGUGGUAUGUUGAUACUGAGCCGCUUCCCCUCUAGUUGUUAGCUCAUUCUUAACAAAUUCGAUCGGGUCUUCAUAAUCUGGAGUAAAAUGAUUCGAAUCUUUGCAUGCCCA